rnacentral:misc_RNA from 1 species
UCCGGUUUGUCGCCGGCAGUCACCUUAGAGUGCCCAACUGAAUGCUGGCAACUAAGAUCAAGGGUUGCGCUCGUUGCGGGACUUAACCCAACAUCUCACGACACGAGCUGACGACAACCAUGCACCACCUGUCUCCGUGCCCCUUGCGGGGAAAACCCAUCUCUGAGCCGGUCACGGGAUGUCAAGGGCUGGUAAGGUUCUGUGCGUUGCGUCGAAUUAAACCACAUGCUCCACCGCUUGUGCGGGCCCCCGUCAAUUCCUUUGAGUUUCAACCUUGCGGCCGUACUCCCCAGGCGGGAUGCUUAAUGCGUUAGCUGCGCCACUGACAAGCAUGCUUGCCAACGGCUGGCAUCCAUCGUUUACGGCGUGGACUAC